UAAUUGCACUGUGUUUCUGCCUUCACAGGAUGAUCCCCCAGGAGAGGGAGAUUUGCCCUUUCAGCUGAGCUCUCAGUCGUCCUCAUCACAUUCUCAGCUUACAGUGGAUUUACCUGUUCACAUACUUCAGGAGCCACACAAUUCCACUGAAGAUGAUGCAGGUUCUGAUAACUCCCAGUUCACUGGAAGCACAAUAAACUUACAGGACCUGGAAUGACCAUUGCUAAGAACAGUUACUUGAA